UACUUUUAGUGUAGGAGAUCUAAUGUAUACAAAUAAAGGAGUAGUAACAUUAUUCUGGUAGAUGACUUAAUUAAUGCCUUAAUUUCACGCCGAAUACAAUAGAAUUUAAAUAUAAAGGCUCGUUAUCAAAAAACUGAAAACAUAAACCUUCACAUUACAUAUAUGUAUGUGCGUGAAUACAAUUUCAAAUGCGAUUAUUUACACAGUUGCGAUUGGAUAGACAUCACAAAAAACAACAUUUCCUUACAAUAACUGUAGAUAAAUUGUUAACUCUUGCCUAAUGUGUCUAAAAUUUAACUUAUAAUAAAUUCGGAUCAAACCAAUGAUUUCUAAAAUAACAUACACAUUUCAUAAACGGGCACAAUGAAGUAAUGAGUACUAUUAUUCAAUUUUCUUUUAAAUAUGCUAGAAAAAGAUUUAUCUUAAUUACAAACUGUAAUCAAAGAACUUAUCCCGAUCUCCAUUACUUAUUUUAGAAAAAUUAACAAAGAAAACAGUUAAAAUUUUAUCAACUACAAACCAAAAGAUUCAACAUCAUUAAUCUUAACUAACAUAUACAACAAAUACAGUACUAUUCCGAAAGAAAUUUAUGAUUCCGAAUUUUCUAUAUUUCAAAUUCCGAAAUUUUCUAUAUUCCGAACGAAAAAUCAAAUGGUGUAUGCAUGUAUUUCUGUCUUUUGUUUUUUUUUAUAUUAAGUAUUUAAACAAGUUUUUAAAAAUAUUAUCAACAAUAUCAAUUUUUCAAAAAUAGUAAAUGAUGGAAAAAAAACAAUUUUUAUAUUGACCAUGCCCUUUUUACGCUCACUGUAAAAAAAGCAAAAUUAACUCGAAUGAUGAAAAAGAAAUUUGGCGACACAUUAAUAUGUAUGUCAGAAGAAAAACAAGAAAUACCUAGAUAUAUACAUACACAUAAGCAUAUACUUAAAUUAAAUUAGUUUAACGUAGACCACCUUGUUGAUGUGAUAAGUGAUUACCAUAAGAAAAACAUACAAAAUAUAAAUUAUUUUAUUGUACUUAUAUAACAAAAAUGUUAUUAUUUUAGAAGAUCUGAACAUGUCGAAUUAUUUAUAAAAUGAGUUCUAAUUUUGAGAACGAAAAUGCGAAAUAAAACGAACAAAAUUCCAAAAUUAUUUUCAAAAGAAAACUGUGUUAUUAUUAUGAAUUCGAAUUCGGAAGAGUCGUUCACACAAGAAACAGGGAAGAGAAUUCACAAAGGAAUAAACAAUUACAGUGACUUUAGUUAAUAAAUAUUCAUAAUAAACAGCGAAUUACACAGUUUUGAACAGCGGCAGCCCUUCCUUUUUAUCAUGUCACAUCACGUCAAAAUAAAUCUAGGACUAGUAAAGGGAGAACAAAUUAAUCAAUAUUUUUAAUUAUACAUACAUAUAUAUAUAUAGAAAAUUUCUAAUUAAUUGUGAUAUUUUUUAAUUUUUUAUACGUUUUCAGCUGUUUUUUUUUUUUAUAAAAUUGAUCGAUGCAAAUGUAUAAUUAUAGUAUACAUACAAAUUUAGCUCUAAAUUUGUAUUUAACAUAGAAGAUCAUAUAUUGGAAAGAUGUCAAAUUGGUAAAAAAAAUUUGAACUGCAUACUUGUAUCUCACGAAAUGCCAGAAACGUCAGAUAAAGUGACUCACAAAAAAUUAACAUUCACUUUUUUCAUACACAAUAUUGUCGUGAGUUUGUACUCGUAUAUGAUUCAAAUGUUUGCUUUUUUACAUUCUGUUUUAUCAAUUUAAAACAAAGAUAAGUAUUGAAAUUUUCAUCAAAGAUUUCUAGAUGUAUGUAUAUAUGUAUAUUUUUGUAUUUGACAUAUGCCACAAUAAAUUUGCUCCAUUUAAAACUUUUCUUGUCAACAAUCAAUUAAGUUCCUAUUAGUAGUGUAUUUACGAUUACUUUUACUUCAUGUUUUGAGUAUUACUCUGUAAAUAACUUUUUUACAUAAAUUAAAAUCAAUUUUCAAUAU